UACGUAGGGAGCAAGCGUUGUCCGGAAUCAUUGGGCGUAAAGCGCGCGUAGGCGGCCCUGUAAGUCCGUUGUGAAAGUCAAAGGCUCAACCUUUGAAAGCCGAUGGAUACUGCAGGGCUAGAGUCCGGAAGAGGCGAGUGGAAUUCCUGGUGUAGCGGUGGAAUGCGCAGAUAUCAGGAAGAACACCCGUGGCGAAGGCGGCUCUCUGGGACGUGACUGACGCUGAGACGCGAAAGCGUGGGGAGCAAACAGG
rnacentral:rRNA from 1 species